rnacentral:rRNA from 1 species
AACGAACGCUGGCGGCAUGCCUAACACAUGCAAGUCGAACGAGACCUUCGGGUCUAGUGGCGCACGGGUGCGUAACGCGUGGGAACCUGCCCUUAGGUUCGGAAUAACUCCCCGAAAGGGGUGCUAAUACCGGAUAAUGCCUUCGGACCAAAGAUUUAUCGCCUUUGGAUGGGCCCGCGUUGGAUUAGCUAGUUGGUAGGGUAAAAGCCUACCAAGGCGACGAUCCAUAGCUGGUCUGAGAGGAUGAUCAGCCACACUGGGACUGAGACACGGCCCAGACUCCUACGGGAGGCAGCAGUGGGGAAUAGUGGACAAUGGGCGAAAGGCUGAUCCAGCACGGCCGGGUGAGUGAUGAAGGCCGUAGGGUUGUAAAGCUCUUUUAACCGGGAUGAUAAUGACGGUACCGGGAGAAUAAGCCCCGGCUAACUCCGUG